UUUGAAAAGCACACUUGCCCUAGGGUUCUCUAGCAGGGCUGGGCUCCCCUGAGAGAUGGCCCAGGGCUCUACCCGCCACCUCAGAUAUCCAAGGGUGGAGCCUGCAUGCGUGGGCAGGCCAGCCAGGGUGUGGUGGCUCUGCCAGGCAGCUCUUACAGCAGGCGGUUCACAGGCCUCCUCCUUUCCCAAAGCCUAGGCCUCACCCUUUUGUCCUGUGGGUCUCCAGGCCUGCUUGGAGGCACCGCCUGACCUAAGACAGAUGACGACAGGACUCAGCACAGGCCCCUUCCUCUUGAGGGUCCUGGUUUGACUGCAGUCUGUGAAUCUUACCCCCUAAAGCAGCGCCUGGACUCAGGAUACCUGCCUCACCAGUGGCACCCGGGGAAGGUUCAUGGGGAAGGAGUCUGAAGAGCCCAGACUCGAGCUACACAUGCCAAACCCAGAGGUGCAGAGCAAUGGGAACAGCAGAUACAGGCACUGACUCAAGUGUGGGGGUACUGCCACCCACCACCCAUUGGGCUGAGGAAUAAGGUGUCACAGGGAAGUCCUGCUCAUGAACCAGAAGGUGGCAGGAUGCCAGGUGGUGGCUUUGAGGGAUAAGACAGGCUCUUGGCUAUCGAAGUGAAGAAUGGGCUUCACUGUUUGUGACAGGCUGGCAAUCCACCAAUCUAUAGCACAUUCAAAGUCCCUGGUCAUUCACCUGGGAUUCAAGACAGAUCCAAAGGAGAGGAGACGCUGCCACAGGAGACUGUCCUGGAUGGAGGAGCAAGCAGCGGACAAAGCUGAAGCACCCGCUGCCUGAGCCUGUGGGGACAUUGCCUCAAACCAGGCUGACUUCUAGUUUUCUGAACAGGGUGUCCUAGAAACAGCCUACCUUUCUCUGGGUCCCUUUGAAAAAAUAAAGAUGUAUUUCUUUUUAUUUGACA